UUUUUUUUUUUUACUAGACAUGCCCCUACUCGCGGUAUAGCGAGUAGGGGCACAAUUUACUAAUACUAAGUAAUUUUUACUUAGUAUUAGUAAAUUUGGCUGAAAGACCAAUUUAGGUCUUUCAGCCUUUUGGUAGAUAACUCCUUAAUACCGUGGGAAUUAGGGAGUUAUGUACCAAGCGGCUGCAAGAAAAGUCCCGAAAUGCCGAAGUUGCGGAAGUUCCGAAGUUGCCGAAGUGUCUAAGAUCCGAAGUGCCGAAGUUGACGAAGUUCCGAAUUUCGGAAUGCUGAACUGAGCCGAAUAUUUUCCCCAUGCACAUGCCUAGAUAAUAUGGCACUAGUCUCUUUGUUUCUUGUGCUUUCUUGCAGGCAUAUUUCUACUACCCUAUUGAUCCUUAUGUAUGUAUUAUUUCAAGUAAACACUUAAAAAAACUGAAUCCCACUUUCCCUCUUCAUGAAGACUUAAUUAAGGAGGAAUGGAGGUACACCGAGAAAAGGGUCUCAGUUCAGAGUUGGAUGUCCAAGCUUUACUCUUUUAAGUCUGACGACAGUGUCCAAAGGGAUUUGGCUCCUAAAGUGGAUGCAGUGAUUGUACGUAUGACGAAAAAGACCACCCUGCAGUAACUAGUGCUGGAACCUUAAGAGAUCCUAUGGAU